rnacentral:misc_RNA from 1 species
AAGUCGUAACAAGGUUUCCGUAGGUGAACCUGCGGAAGGAUCAUUAACGAGUUAGGGUCUUCCAGGCCCGACCUCCCAACCCUCUGUUUAUUGAACCUUUGUUGCUUCGGCGGACCCGUCUUUACGGCCGCCGGAGGAUCGUCGACAGGCGUCCUCUGGCCCGCGUCCGCCGAUGGCCAACCCCAUUAAAUUCUGAAAUGAAUCGUGUCUCUGUCUAAGUCCUUGAUUAAAAUCAAAACAAAACUUUCAACAACGGAUCUCUUGGUUCUG